GGGGGGGGGGGGGGGGGGGGGUGGGGGGUGCGAGGCGAGCGGGGGGGGGGUAAGGGCGUGCGCUUGGGGGUGGCGAGUGGCGGGCGGGUGAGGAAUGCAUCGGAAUCUACUUUGUCGGGGGGGAUAACGUAGGGAAACUUACGCUAAUACCGCAUACGACCUACGGGUGAAAGCAGGGGAUCUUCGGACCUUGCGCGAUUGAAUGAGCCGAUGUCGGAUUAGCUAGUUGGCGGGGUAAAGGCCCACCAAGGCGACGAUCCGUAGCUGGUCUGAGAGGAUGAUCAGCCACACUGGAACUGAGACACGGUCCAGACUCCUACGGGAGGCAGCAGUGGGGAAUAUUGGACAAUGGGCGCAAGCCUGAUCCAGCCAUACCGCGUGGGUGAAGAAGGCCUUCGGGUUGUAAAGCCCUUUUGUUGGGAAAGAAAAGCAGCAGGUUAAUACCCCGCUGUUCUGACGGUACCCAAAGAAUAAGCACCGGCUAACUUCGUG
rnacentral:rRNA from 1 species